AGUGAACGCUGGCGGCAGGCCUAACACAUGCAAGUCGAGCGGCAGCGGGUCCUUCGGGAUGCCGGCGAGCGGCGGACGGGUGAGGAAUGCAUCGGAAUCUGCCCUGUCGUGGGGGAUAACCUAGGGAAACUUAGGCUAAUACCGCAUACGACCCACGGGUGAAAGCGGGGGAUCGCAAGACCUCGCGCGAUAGGAUGAGCCGAUGUCCGAUUAGCUAGUUGGCGGGGUAAAGGCCCACCAAGGCGACGAUCGGUAGCUGGUCUGAGAGGAUGAUCAGCCACACUGGGACUGAGACACGGCCCAGACUCCUACGGGAGGCAGCAGUGGGGAAUAUUGGACAAUGGGCGCAAGCCUGAUCCAGCCAUGCCGCGUGGGUGAAGAAGGCCUUCGGGUUGUAAAGCCCUUUUGUCCGGGAAGAAAACGUCUGGGCUAAUACCCCGGGCGGAUGACGGUACCGGAAGAAUAAGCACCGGCUAACUUCGUG
rnacentral:rRNA from 1 species